rnacentral:lncRNA from 1 species
GAAAAUUUUAUCCUGCCCUACCUUUGCUAUUUGAACCUCAGAGCUAGAGGUUUGUUAUUUUAGUAUUUCUCACUGCAGUUUUCAGCUUGUGAAGUUUCGGAGAAUUGCAAGUCAGGUAUCUUCAGGCAAAUGCUUUGCAAGCUUUCUGCAUUGACUCCCAUCAGUAACCUCAGUGCUGCAUGCAUCUUUUGAUCCUUAAGGCCAGAAACAACCACGAAAGUCAUUUAGUCUGACCUAGAGCAGCACCGAUCACAGAGCAAGGCAAACUCGUAGAGGGGUCAGUCAGUCUCCCCGCUGUUCCUACAUUCCUCCUGGACGUCUGCACAGCUGGGCCAGACAGAAGGCUUUUUAAACAUCACUGUUCAGGAUGCUGCUGGAAGGCUGCUGGGCCAUGGGACGGUAAAGGGAGACGGGAAACGUGGCUGGGUAUGUUAUUGCUGCAAAGGGUUCAGCAGACACUGCUCUACUCAAGCAUCAGUAUGUGCCCAAGAGUGGGACCAGGCGCACUGGAGUCCGGAAGAGAUUUCUGCUGCUGAUCAGAUGGGAGACCACUCUCGUGGAUGGAUCACGCAUCCCUCAGAACUGGAGUCCAGCUUGAAUGCUCCCUUCGUUUCACAUGGAUCAGGUUGGGUGAUCAGAGGAGCUCUCGCAACACGCACCAGGAUCCAGGAGUCCUAUGUUCACCCUAUCCAAAGGAUCAGGUUGACUUUCACCCUGGAAAAAAUGUCUGGUCUGCUCUAGUCAUUCAGGAUUCCAGAUAUGUCUGUUUUUUUCUGCUCUUAGUUCAAGAUACCAAGAAGGAAGCUAUUAGCAGAAAGACAUUCUGAGCAUAACCUGAAAAUGAAGUCCUUACAGAUGUCCCCACUUUGGAUGUAAAACAGUGAAUCCACUAAUAUCACUAACAAGUUUUGAAAAUUCAGACCAGAGCGUUUUGCUGAGCAUCUGAAAAGACUUUCCUUCCAAGAACAAGUACUGUCAGUGAUGCUUUGGGUAACCGCUACAAGGAUUACGCACGUGAUAUUUGUUAGAUGAUGGUGUGUAUCUAUUUAGUUUACAAAGUGGUGUUUUUUGGCAUAAAAACGCAUGCGUCAUUACAGCUGUAAAGCCUCGCAAAACCUCAGGGUUACAGUUCUCAACAGCAACGUUUUUGGCGUUCGAAAGGAUGGGUCAGAACUGCAAAGUGUCCCAAGAUCCAAAAUUUUCACCACAGAUGAGUGGGUUGUGCUCUAGAUAUUUUGCUUGGCCCCGCUUGUGAAACAUAGGUUCACAGAUGCAGAGCCCUGUAUCCCAGCACUGCGGAGGACAGGGGUUUGUAAAGAAAUGAUACUGGCUCGUGGGCGUCUGCAGGGUCUUGUUGGAAGGGUCAGGGCUUUCCGCCUUCCCCUUUCUGACUACUCCUGAUGGAGACUCAUUGUCGAAGUCCUCACUUUUGGUGGGAGCGAGGCCGAAGGGGGCAUAUGGUGCAGAGGCAGCAGAAGAAGGACUGUCGGAGUGGCCCCUAGAUUUAGCAGGCCAUCAAGAUCGCAGCACAUCUACGUGCAGCUUCUCAGGAUGCCCAGAUCAGGAGACAAAGGAAAGUGAGUAAAUUUGGAUGACUCACCGAGGUGGGACAGGAUGGAGAGGCUAAUCCCUGUCAGCUCCUAAAGAGUACAAAGAGGCACAUCCAAAACAAGCACAUCAUCACCAAGCUUGGAAGAAUCCAGGAGACGUGAGUAGACCUCGAUAGCUGGCGUCUCUCAUCCUCCGCGUCCCUGCGAGGAAUCCUGGGCUGGCCACCUGGAGACGAGCGUCCUGGUGCCUGCUGCUGGACCGGCUGCCUGCACACAU